AUGAUGAGCUCCAUCCCUACCUGAGUUGUGAUGAAUGUAGCGCGCUCUGA
rnacentral:snoRNA from 1 species